rnacentral:rRNA from 1 species
UACGUAGGGCGCAAGCGUUAUCCGGAAUUAUUGGGCGUAAAGAGCUCGUAGGCGGUUUGUCGCGUCUGCCGUGAAAGUCCGGGGCUCAACUCCGGAUCUGCGGUGGGUAUGGGCAGACUAGAGUGAUGUAGGGGAGACUGGAAUUCCUGGUGUAGCGGUGAAAUGCGCAGAUAUCAGGAGGAACACCGAUGGCGAAGGCAGGUCUCUGGGCAUUAACUGACGCUGAGGAGCGAAAGCGUGGGGAGCGAACAGG